UUGUACUGUCCUUUGAAUCUAGUCAUCUUCUACUUACAUCUUCCACCCCUUGUCUGAGCUCUUCCGUCUCCAAUACUUCAAACAUCCAUCUUUUGGCCCAAAACGAGAGAUCACCAUAACACCGUCGCCAUCAUAAUAUUGGCCAUUAAUGUUUGCAGCUAUCUUCUGAUAUGGCAUCCUUGCUUGGGUCUGUCACUCCAUGAAGAACUGUCGGAAGAACAAGAUCACCACCUGGUCUUUCCGCGGGAGGCCGUCAAUGUAGCGGCCGAGUCCCGCCACCACCACACCGUUGCCUCGUGGGCUCAGCCGCGAAAGGAUCUCGUGCAGACGUGGGAGGGAAGAAUGACUGCGCUGUGCGUCUAAAGGAGUUCGACGACGGCGUGAUGGUGCGGCGCCUCCCACUGCUUCCAUGUUCGGUGCAUCGACGACCGGCACUUGAGUUCAUGCGCCUCUUGACCUCUUUGUAGAGCUACUGUUGAUCCUCCAUAGUUAAGUGUCUAAAAUCUGGCUGCAUGUGGAGUCUUCACUCCGUUGGCAAAGUAGGUGCUUCGAAAUAUCAUGUUUUUGUGGACCUUCCAUGCCGAGUCUCUCGGCUGCAUCUACCACAUCGUUCACCUUCUUCAGGGUGAGAUCUUCUUGAUGAGAUAUUUGCAAUUAUUUCUUUGGGUUUUCCCCCAUUCUUCUAUCCCAAAAGAAAAUUGUUUUGUGGGUAGACGAUUCCUCUAUACCAACCCAAUAAUUAAUGGGGGCAGGUUCAUCAUGACCGGCUUCACAGGGAUAUGAAACCCACGAAGCAGGGUAUAUCUAUCAUUGCUGACGUGUCAAGCCCCGAUAGGAUCGCAGAGUGGAGACCACGAAGGCCGUGGCCCACGCCAACAAUGAAAUCGAUGGAGAACCUUAUCUUCGAGUUUUUAUAUGUCACGAGGAUGAAAGGCGGACGGUUCCCGCGUCAAUGGUUUGGCGUCAACGUUACGGAGUCUGAUACAACGACACGAAGGCGGAAGGUUCCAUGUUGCAACAUUGAGGACAAGCUUUAAUCUUGGAUUCUCCUGUACUGCGUGUGACUCCUCUUCGUCCCCAUCUCGUCGCUAGUGGAGUUGCUUUGUAAGUUCAUUAAUGACCCCUCAUGUCAUCACCGA
rnacentral:lncRNA from 1 species